AAGAGACGAGGAGGAGACAAGAGGAGGAACAGGCGAAGAGACAAGAGGAGGAACAGGCGAAGAGACAAGAGGAGGAACAGGCAAAGAGACGAGGAGGAGACAAGAGGAGGAAGACAAGAGGAGGAACAGGUGAGGAGACAAGAGGAGGAACAGGCAAAGAGACAAGAGGAGGAACAGGCAAAGAGACAAGAGGAGAAACAGGCGAAGAGACAAGAGGAGGAACAGGCAAAGAGACGAGGAGGAGACAAGAGGAGGAAGACAAGAGGAGGAACAGGUGAGGAGACAAGAGCAGAAGACAAGAGGAGGAACAGGCAAAGAGACGAGUAGGAGACAAGAGGAGGAACAGGCAGGCGGGAGAAAAGAGGAGGAACCGGCGAAGAGACAAGCAGAAGACAAGAGGAGGAACAGGUGAGCAGACAUGCGAAUCUGAAGUCUGUGUUUUGUCUGUCAAACCAGACUCAGGUUCGUCCUGGUUUUCCUGCUGAACAGACUCAUCCAGUCCGGUGACUAUCAACUGUCAGCUGUGUGCAGGGAGUUCCCACUCUGCCUCUAUGGGCCUCGGCCGCCCUGGCUCGCUCUGCCAGACAGGUUCCUCUGCAUUUCUCAGCAGCACCAGCGUGUGAUUGGUCGCGUUUACCUGCUCAGUACCGCCAGGAAAUGACCAGACUUUGGUGACGGAGACACUGGAUGAGGACGUUGGACAGGGUGGACCUUUGUUUCUUACUGGGCGGACCGGGACCACACGUCCACAAACGUACAGUUGAACAAUCUAAUCAUGCACCAGGUGUUUCUGAGCAGCUUCACGUCAUAUGUUUGUCAUGAAGUCGCCGUUUGGCUGAC